AGAUGGAUAAAUUCGUCCAUUCCAGAUCAAUCAGGAGGAAGAAACAAGACCCUGCUUUUAUGUCAUCAGUGACAGUGACUUUUCAAGUAUGGGGAUAUGUAACUUCUGGCUAUGUGUUGUCAGAUGGCUGUUACCAAUAUACGAAGUCCAAGGUUUUCUGAUACAUUAGAAACAGACUUUUGGUCUCGUGUUAGAUUCAAACAGCAUGGCAUCUAACUCAUGUUACACAGUUAUGAUGGCCAAAACUACAGAAGCUUGGCAAUUUACUUAGGAGUUAUAGUACUUUUUGGAUGAGCAGUAAAUAUCAGAGAACUGGUUUAUCUGAUAAAACAUUAAAAUCAAGUGCUGUGUUGAAUAUACUCUUAAAAUAUCUUUUCCAUGGCUAUUUUUCCAUUAAAUAUUUCUUUGCAGUCUAAUAUUUCAAUUUAAGUGCUUAUUUUGUUAAUAUUCUGAUUUCACUUGCCCAGUCCUCCUAAGAUGAGUACAUUGUAUAAUCUAAAGUUCUUCAGCAUUCUUUAGUAUUCAAAUUGUUUGUACAGAAUUGAUUGUACAGAAUUAAUCAUAACACAGUUUUGGUUAUAGAAUAUUGAUUGCAAAUGAUUAAUUAAAGAAAAUUAGGUAAUAGCAGUUUUUGUAAUCAUUAUCAUUUGUUACUAGAAUAAGCUAAUAAGACUGUGUUGAGAAUAUAUGAACACUGCAAAGUGUUCAUGAGUGACUCGGGAAAGGACACUGUUGGUUUAUAUUUCCAUUCAGAAUACUGGCCUACUAAAUCUGAAAAAAAAUUGGAUGCAUAAUAUAUUUAUGUAUUCUGUUAUGGCUCAGUCUUCAGUCAUUCAGAGGUGGAUGAUAGAAAUGCUAAAUUUUGCGUGCAUAUUAAAGCUGAUGUCAAUGAACUUGUACCUCUGAAACAGCUAUGUCAAAUACGCAAAUGAAAAUGUGUUCAUCACAAUUACCUAAUAAAAUCUCAGAUAUAACUUUUGCAAAGACCAGAUAAAUAUGUUUUUCUUUGAAAAAAUAAAACACUUUGCUUUCUCAUCUUGUGAAAUCAUUCCCUUUGAAAUCCCUGGAAUUUUCAUUAGGGGAAAGAAAUUACAAGGGAUGCUCUGAAAGUAAUGCCUCCUUUUUUAUUAUGUUGGCCCACAGUCAGAAGUGUAUGUUGGUGGUAUAGCAGUAGAGGUUGAACCUUCCCUCCAAUAUUCCAUUACGUAUCAUUGCCAUGCAACAGAUGGCAGGAGAGGGGCAGUCUGACAAAAUGGCAUCUGACAUAGAAGUUCAUCUGAAAUAAAACAGUGUCAUUGAAUUCCUCCAUGCAGAAAAACUGGCACCCAAUGGCAUUCAUUGAUGCUUGCUGAACAUUUAUGCAGAUGAAACAGUGGAUGUGAGCACAAUGAGGUAGUGGGUGAUGUCUUUCUACAAUGGUGACAAUUAAUAGUAUGGGCUACAAAAAAACUAAUAGUGAAUAGAGAAUUGGCUCUGUCAGAUAGUGGUAUUGAGCUCCUUGUAUCUGUAGUAGUUUCCAUGGAAAUAAAUAGAAGGCAUUACUUUCAGAGCUACCUUUGUGCAUUGAUUUCUUUCACUUAGGAUUAUCAGAAAGUAGUGACUGAUAAAGGAAUAUUA
ensembl:lncRNA